CAGCAGUCGCCGCGGUAAUACCGAGGGUGCGAGCGUUAAUCGGAUUUACUGGGCGUAAAGCGUGCGUAGGCGGCUUCUUAAGUCGGAUGUGAAAUCCCUGAGCUUAACUUAGGAAUUGCAUUCGAUACUGGGAAGCUAGAGUAUGGGAGAGGAUGGUAGAAUUCCAAGUGUAGCGGUGAAAUGCGUAGAGAUCUGGAGGAAUACCGAUGGCGAAGGCAGCCAUCUGGCCUAAUACUGACGCUGAGGUACGAAAGCAUGGGGAGCAAACAGGAUUAGAUACCCCUGUAGUCCCUGUCUCUUAUAC
rnacentral:rRNA from 1 species